rnacentral:rRNA from 1 species
GUGCACCAGGCGCGAACCUUCGCAAUGCGGGAAACCGCGACGAGGGACUCCCAGUGCCUACGCUCAGCGUAGGCUGUUCCCGAGCCUAGAAAGCUCGGGGAGUAAGGGCUGGGUAAGACGGGUGCCAGCCGCCGCGGUAAUACCCGCAGCCCGAGUGGUGGCCACUAUUAUUGGGCCUAAAGCGUCCGUAGCCGGCCCGGUAAAUGCCUGGGUAAAUCGUGAGGCCUAACCUCACGAAUUCCGGGUAGACUGCCGGGCUAGGGACCGGAGGAGGGAGAGGGUACUCCAGGGGUAGGGGUGGAAUCCUGUAAUCCCUGGAGGACCACCGGUGGCGAAGGCGCUCUCCUAGGACGGGUCCGACGGUGAGGGACGAAAGCCAGGGGAGCGAACCGGAUUAGAUACCCCGGUAGU